AGCGUAGGCGGCAUGGUAAGCCAGAUGUGAAAGCCCGAAGCUUAACUUCGGGAUUGCAUUUGGAACUAUCAAGCUAGAGUACAGGAGAGGUAAGUGGAAUUCCUAGUGUAGCGGUGAAAUGCGUAGAUAUUAGGAAGAACACCAGUGGCGAAGGCGACUUACUGGACUGAAACUGACGCUGAGGCUCGAAAGCGUGGGGAGCGAACAGGAUUAGAUACCCUGGUAGUCCACGCCGUAAACGAUGAGUACUAAGUGUAGGAGAAAUUCUGUGCUGUAGUUAACGCAAUAAGUACUCCGCNUGAGUAGUACGUACGCAAGUAUGAAACUCAAAGGAAUAGACGGGGACCCGCACAAGUGGUGGAGCAUGUGGUUUAAUUCGAAGAUACGCGAAGAACCUUACCUGGCCUUGACAUUGAUAGAAUCUGCUAGAGAUAGCGGAGUGCUUUCGGGGAACUUGAAAACAGGUGCUGCACGGCUGUCGUCAGCUCGUGUCGUGAGAUGUUGGGUUAAGUCCCGCAACGAGCGCAACCCUCGUUCUUAGUUACUAACGGUUCGGCCGAGGACUCUAAGAAGACUGCCUUCGCAAGGAGGAGGAAGGUGAGGACGACGUCAAGUCAUCAUGGCCCUUACGCCUAGGGCUACACACGUACUACAAUGGCGCGCACAAAGGGGAGCAAGACCGCGAGGUGGAGCCAAUCCCAAAAAACGCGUCCCAGUCCGGAUUGCAGUCUGCAACUCGACUACAUGAAGUCGGAAUCGCUAGUAAUCGCGAAUCAGCAUGUCGCGGUGAAUGCGUUCCCGGGCCUUGUACACACCGCCCGUCACACCACGAAAGUCGGCAACACCCGAAGCCAGUGAGCUAACUACAAUAGAGGCAGCUGUCGAAGGUGGGGUUGGUGAUUGGGGUGAAGUCGUAACAAGGUAACC
rnacentral:rRNA from 1 species